rnacentral:rRNA from 1 species
AUUGAACGCUGGCGGCAUGCCUUACACAUGCAAGUCGAACGGCAGCACGGGAGCAAUCCUGGUGGCGAGUGGCGAACGGGUGAGUAAUACAUCGGAACGUGCCCAAUCGUGGGGGAUAACGCAGCGAAAGCUGUGCUAAUACCGCAUACGAUCUACGGAUGAAAGCAGGGGAUCGCAAGACCUUGCGCGAAUGGAGCGGCCGAUGGCAGAUCAGGUAGUUGGUGAGGUAAAGGCUCACCAAGCCGUCGAUCUGUAGCUGGUCUGAGAGGACGACCAGCCACACUGGGACUGAGACACGGCCCAGACUCCUACGGGAGGCAGUAGUGGGGAAUUUUGGACAAUGGGCGAAAGCCUGAUCCAGCCAUGCCGCGUGCAGGAUGAAGGCCUUCGGGUUGUAAACUGCUUUUGUACGGAACGAAACGGCCUUUUCUAAUAAAGAGGGCUAAUGACGGUACCGUAAGAAUAAGCACCGGCUAACUACGUGCCAGCAGCCGCGGUAAUACGUAGGGUGCAAGCGUUAGUCGGAAUUACUGGGCGUAAAGCGUGCGCAGGCGGUUAUGUAAGACAGUUGUGAAAUCCCCGGGCUCAACCUGGGAACUGCAUCUGUGACUGCAUAGCUAGAGUACGGUAGAGGGGGAUGGAAUUUCGCGUGUAGCAGUGAAAUGCGUAGAUAUGCGGAGGAACACCGAUGGCGAAGGCAAUCCCCUGGACCUGUACUGACGCUCAUGCACGAAAGCGUGGGGAGCAAACAGG